AUCACCUGGGGAUCUUGUUAACACGCAGAUUCUGAUUCAGUGGGUCUGAAUGGGGUCUGGGGUUCUGCAUUUCUAAUAAGCUCCCAGGGGAUGUUAA
rnacentral:pre_miRNA from 1 species